UACGAAGGGGGCUAGCGUUGUUCGGAAUUACUGGGCGUAAAGGGCGCGUAGGCGGCGUGUCAAGUCAGGCGUGAAAGCCCCGGGCUCAACCUGGGAACCGCGCUUGAGACUGGCAUGCUCGAGUUCGGGAGAGGAUGGUGGAAUUCCCAGUGUAGAGGUGAAAUUCGUAGAUAUUGGGAAGAACACCGAUGGCGAAAGGGCCAGCCCAUCUGGACCGACACUGACGCUGAGGCGCGAAAGCGUGGGGAGCAAACAGG
rnacentral:rRNA from 1 species